UAUACUCAGAAAGAACCGACGAGAGACUCAGGUGAGGAGAAAAAGAAAAAAAUCCAACUUCGAGCGUCAGAAACUUCUACCCAAAAAUUCUAUGAACCUAAGUAAUUGAAGUGAUGUAGUUGGCGUUAUGAAGUUUGUUGAUUGAUGUAGUUGGAUUUCUUAUGUUCUUAUGUUACCAAUUUUGUUUUCAAAGCAUGUAUGAAGAAUUUAGGGUUUCUUUAGAAGUUGAUUAUAUCGCUGCCUGGCUCAAAAUCAUGAUAGGAUUAGAACUCGAAGUAUAGAUGUGUCUUUGGAUUCAAUAGGCGAACUACGGAGGUUAAGGUUUGAAUUCUGAGUUGAGGUGGGGACUUACAUUUCUAUUUUGUAAUCAUUGAUGGCUUUUAACAAAAUUAUGUUUAUGCACUUAAAUAAACUCAUGCAUUGUUGGAUUUGAUUUCCGAUAACUCAGUAGAUUCUUUAGGUCUUGUCCAUUACUUGGAAAUGACCUGAAAUGUACUUGCUUGCCUUUGUGAUUGUGUGGGAAAUAAGAAUUUCCAUCAGUGGUAUAUAGGAUACGCUCCUUCAUUUGUAACUACUUUGUUUUCAGCAUUUAUGCAAUGGCUAGGGAGAUACAACACAAUAUUAUUAUCUAGGUGUGGAACUGGUUGACACCAUAUUAUACAUUGUUCGAAGGAGGAGUUAGUGUCCAUAUACUUGAUUGUUUUGUGUGUGUUGGUUCCCCUUUAAUUUUUAGAGUACAUGCUUGUUUAUUUCACUGAACUAAAUGUGUUACUAUCAUUUAAGGAAAACUUGCAUUCUUUUAAAUUCAACUUUGAUGAUUAUAUUUGAGAAGCCUAAGUAUCCAUUGGGCUUGUUUAGCUCACUCUUCCACCUCCUUUUAGUGACAGGUAGCCUCGAUGCAAGUAGUGUUGACUCGACCAAAGGAGAAAUUUAUGUUUGGGUCGAUUAAGUUGUCUUAACUUAUGUCCUUGAGGGAUCAUUGCUGGUCUCAGUAGUACUGUGCAGUCUUAUAACUUUUUGAAGGUGUAUUUCUUGAGUUUUUUUGAUUGUAAGUAAGGCUCUAACUCCUGAAUGUAUAUAUUAUAUAUCAUCAAACAACACACUUGUAAAUUAGAUGGUUAUGUAUAUUAUGAAUAACCUAGUUUGUGUUCU